rnacentral:rRNA from 1 species
GCUGGCGGCACGCCUAAUACAUGCAAGUCGAACGAAGUAGCAAUACUUAGUGGCAGACGGGUGAGUAACAUGUGGGUAUCUUCCCUUUGGUGAGGAAUAACACGAGGAAACUUGUGCUAAUACCUCAUAAGUCUUUACGGAGAAAGCUUUAUGCGCCAUUGGAUGAGCCUGCACUUGAUUAGUUUGUUGGUGGGGUAAUGGCCUACCAAGACUUUGAUCAAUAGCUGAUUUGAGAGGAUGAUCAGCCACAUUGGGACUGAGACACGGCCCAAACUCCUACGGGAGGCAGCAGUAGGGAAUCUUGCACAAUGGAGGAAACUCUGAUGCAGCGAUGCCGCGUGAGUGAAGAAGGCCCUUGGGUUGUAAAGCUCUUUCGUCGGGGAAGAAAAUGACUGUACCCGAAUAAGAAGGUCCGGCUAACUUCGUGCCAGCAGCCGCGGUAAUACGAAGGGACCUAGCGUAGUUCGGAAUUACUGGGCUUAAAGAGUUCGUAGGUGGUUAAAAAAGUUGGUGGUGAAAUCCCAGAGCUUAACUCUGGAACUGCCAUCAAAACUUUUUAGCUAGAGUAUGAUAGAGGAAAGCAGAAUUUCUAGUGUAGAGGUGAAAUUCGUAGAUAUUAGAAAGAAUACCGAUUGCGAAGGCAGCUUUCUGGAUCAUUACUGACACUGAGGAACGAAAGCAUGGGUAGCGAAGAGGAUUAGAUACCCUCGUAGUCCAUGCCGUAAACGAUGUGUGUUAGACGUUGGAAAUUUAUUUUCAGUGUCGCAGCGAAAGCAAUAAACACACCGCCUGGGGAGUAC